GCCUGCAAGACCAAGAGGGGUUGCGUGUGAGUUACGGUCAGCCUCCUGGCUCCCCGGAUGAUGACAGAAUGUCAAUCACAUGCGGAUAGUGAACACGCAGCUUGCAGAUGCUUAGCACCUGGCUGCACAACGAGCUGGCAGGGGCACUCACCAUAUUCUGUGCUGCAAAAUCACAGGAAAGGCUGUUUACAAACCUGCGAAAGGAGGAAGUUUCAUUCAAAGAAAAAGACUUUAGAGGAAAUCCAGCUGCCUGGCAACAUAAUCUUCUUCCCCCACCUUCAUCUUCCUGGGGACCUUGCAGAUGUACUUGCUCUUCAAAGAAAUUUCCAGCUAGCAUCAAUGCCCUUUUCAGUGAAUGAUUGAUUUUCCAGGAAGGCAGAACAAGGAGGAUAUUUUUUCCCUGAAGAGAUGGACUGACUUCAGAGUAACUUUGACCAUUGUGCUUCCAUCACUUUCACCACAGGCACAGCAUCCUUCAUUCUGCUCUGGAAGACAUAGUCGCCAUACCUCCCUUUGUGUCCCCAGACUUCCCCAAACACUGUUGACAGUUUAGAAAAGAUCCCAAAGAAACACAACCCUCUGCCUUAGCUUUUCCUUUGGCUUUCAGCUAAUUUUCUCCUCCUCUCUGGAGCAUUCAUUUCAUUUCCAAAAGGUCCUGGAGAAAACUACUUCUAGGUAGUUAGAAAUCUGAGAAAAGUUUCCAUGUAAAAGCCAAAAAAAAUUUUUUUAUUAAAAAAAUAAUAACUUGUCAAUUUAAAGGGAGACAUUUUUUAUUACACUGACUCAAAUUUCUGUGGCCAAAAUCUUCUUUCCCCAUCAUGACAAUCUCCCUAUUCAGUGAAAGGUAUUUGAGAUUUCCUUCUUUUUCUCAGCUCUGCUCUAAACGCUACAGAUGUAAAAGUAUGAGGGGGUGACUCCUUGUACUCCCAAUUCCUUAUAAAAUGUUGCUGAGAAAUUUUGUGUAGUGUGCUCUAUCAGAAGUUGCUUUAUUUCUCUUAUUAAAGCAUCUAUUUCCACAUUAAUGAGCCUUACCAUUGUCUAAGUAUCUGGUCAAAGUUAAGGGAAAGAUCAGAAAAGAUGGAGAUAAAAUCUGGCAAGGUCAGUGAGACCUAGCAGAGACUUCUGCAGGCCUUAAGAGGUCCUGAAUAUAGGAAUGAAGGUGAAAGAAGGGGUAAGAAUAGACAAAAACAAAAGAUUAUUGAAAAUCCAACUUUGGUGACUGGCCCAUUCAAAGAUAAUGGGCAAAUCUAAGACAGCUGAGUUCAGACUACAAGUCCAGAAGUCCAGGCUGGGCAGAGAGGCAGAGGUCAAAUCUAAACUCUGAAUAUACAGCUAGAAUUUUGGGAUUCAAAUGACAAAAGGGGAAAUUGCAAAUUUCAGAAGACUUGAAAAUACAUCUCAACAACUGGGGUAGGACUAUUGUAUCAAGACAGCUGACUGGUUGAAACAUCCUCUGAAAUGGUCCAAUCAGGGCUAAGAGGAGGUGCUUCUCCCACAGGUGAGCAAGGCUCGGUGGGUGCUUGAGCAGAGGUAGAAACCUAGGGGCUUGGAACAUCCUCUCAGGGACCAUGUUGUCCUCUCAAAGGCAAAUAUGCUGGUAAAUUACCAGUGUUGACGCAGUAUGAUCUUUUGCAUAGAUGAUGAUGUAUUUAUUCACUAGGACCAAAGAGUAGAUAGUCAGUAAGAGUCAAUUUCCUCCUUUUUAGGACUACUAUACUUAUAUUAGAAAAGGGUAGUGUUCAUAUAUGACAGUCUUCUGGGAAUCCCAUAGAUCAAAUGUUUUGGUUCUGACCUGAUUCUGCGAAGUACACUCAUGCAGUCAUGCAUACCUACUCUGAACAGAGAUGCUCAGGCUUCAAAUGAAGCUCCUGAGCAUUCAUCUAAGAAAUAUUAUUUUCAUUUCUGCCAAGAUCAGUUAACUUUUACUAAUCCAGUCAAGAACUCAACCUCUGUCCCACAGUAGUUAAAUCUGAGAUGAGGGUAGGGUAUGGUAGAUAGAAUAAUGUCCACACCCUAAUCCCCAAUACUUAUGAACUUAUGUACAUGACCAUGGAGAAUAAAGUUUACAGAUGGAGUUAAGUUUGCUAACCA
rnacentral:lncRNA from 1 species